UAGGGAAUCUUCGGCAAUGGGGGCAACCCUGACCGAGCAACGCCGCGUGAGUGAAGAAGGUUUUCGGAUCGUAAAGCUCUGUUGUAAGAGAACGAACGUGUGUGAGAGUGGAAAGUUCACACAGUGACGGUAACUUACCAGAAAGGGACGGCUAACUACGUGCCGG
rnacentral:rRNA from 1 species